rnacentral:rRNA from 1 species
UACAGAGGUCUCAAGCGUUGUUCGGAUUCAUUGGGCGUAAAGGGUGCGUAGGUGGCGGGGCAAGUCUGGUGUGAAAAUCCCCGGGGCUCAACCCCGGAACUGCACUGGAUACUGCUUUGCUAGAGUACUGGAGAGGGAACUGGAAUUUACGGUGUAGCAGUGAAAUGCGUAGAUAUCGUAAGGAAGACCAGUGGCGAAGGCGAGUUCCUGGACAGUUACUGACACUGAGGCACGAAGGCCAGGGGAGCAACGGG